GAUGAACGCUAGCUACAGGCUUAACACAUGCAAGUCGAGGGGAAACGACAUCGAAAGCUUGCUUUUGAUGGGCGUCGACCGGCGCACGGGUGAGUAACGCGUAUCCAACCUGCCCAUCACUUGGGAAUAACCUUGCGAAAGUAAGACUAAUACCCAAUGAUAUCCCACGAAGGCAUCGGAAUGGGAUUAAAGAUUUAUCGGUGAUGGAUGGGGAUGCGUCUGAUUAGCUUGUUGGCGGGGUAACGGCCCACCAAGGCAACGAUCAGUAGGGGUUCUGAGAGGAAGGUCCCCCACAUUGGAACUGAGACACGGUCCAAACUCCUACGGGAGGCAGCAGUGAGGAAUAUUGGUCAAUGGGCGAGAGCCUGAACCAGCCAAGAAGCGUGCAGGAAGACGGCCCUAUGGGUUGUAAACUGCUUUUAUAAGGGAAUAAAGUGGGUCACGUGUGACUUUUUGCAUGUACCUUAUGAAUAAGGACCGGCUAAUUCCGUG
rnacentral:rRNA from 1 species